rnacentral:rRNA from 1 species
UACGUAGGGUGCAAGCGUUAAUCGGAAUUACUGGGCGUAAAGCGUGCGCAGGCGGCUUUGCAAGACAGAUGUGAAAUCCCCGGGCUUAACCUGGGAACUGCAUUUGUGACUGCAUGGCUGGAGUGCGGCAGAGGGGGAUGGAAUUCCGCGUGUAGCAGUGAAAUGCGUAGAUAUGCGGAGGAACACCGAUGGCGAAGGCAAUCCCCUGGGCCUGCACUGACGCUCAUGCACGAAAGCGUGUGGAGCAAACAGG